rnacentral:misc_RNA from 1 species
AUUGAAACUUCCCGCUCUGGACAGGCGUCUCAAUUGUCUUCCAGUGCACAACCCCAGUGGUUGAUUCCUGUGGGCUCUGGUAAACGGAGGGAAUUGGCUGCACGGGCUCCUCUUAUAGUUGCAGCUCUCCAGGCUAUUUGUAGUUUAGGAGACACUUCAUUUGAAAAGAACUUGAGUUAUUUCUUCCCCCUUCUUUCAUGCUUGAUAAGUUGUGAACAUGGGU